AAUGAACGCUGGCGGCAGGCCUAACACAUGCAAGUCGAACGGAUCCUUCGGGAUAGUGGCGGACGGGUGAGUAACGCGUGGGAACAUACCCUUUGGUACGGAAUAGCCUCGGGAAACUGGGAGUAAUACCGUAUGUGGUCGAGAGACGAAAGAUUUAUCGCCAAAGGAUUGGCCCGCGUUGGAUUAGGUAGUCGGUGGGGUAAUGGCCUACCAAGCCGACGAUCCAUAGCUGGUUUGAGAGGAUGAUCAGCCACACUGGGACUGAGACACGGCCCAGACUCCUACGGGAGGCAGCAGUGGGGAAUCUUAGACAAUGGGGGAAACCCUGAUCUAGCCAUGCCGCGUGAUCGAUGAAGGCCUUAGGGUUGUAAAGAUCUUUCAGGUGGGAAGAUAAUGACUGUACCACCAGAAGAAGCCCCGGCUAACUCCGUGCCAGCCGCCGCAGUAACAC
rnacentral:rRNA from 1 species